rnacentral:rRNA from 1 species
CUGAAGAGUUUGAUCAUGGCUCAGAUUGAACGCUGGCGGCAGGCCUAACACAUGCAAGUCGAGCGCGAAAACACUUCGGUGUGAGUAGAGCGGCGGACGGGUGAGUAAUGCUUGGGAAUCUGCCCAGUAGUGGGGGAUAACGUGUGGAAACGCACGCUAAUACCGCAUACGUCCUACGGGAGAAAGCAGGGGAUCUUCGGACCUUGCGCUAUUGGAUGAGCCCAAGUCGGAUUAGCUAGUUGGUGGGGUAAUGGCCUACCAAGGCGACGAUCCGUAGCUGGUCUGAGAGGAUGAUCAGCCACACUGGGACUGAGACACGGCCCAGACUCCUACGGGAGGCAGCAGUGGGGAAUAUUGCACAAUGGGCGAAAGCCUGAUGCAGCCAUGCCGCGUGUGUGAAGAAGGCUCUAGGGUUGUAAAGCACUUUCAGUAGGGAGGAAAAGCUUAAGGUUAAUAACCUUGAGCCCUGACGUUACCUACAGAAGAAGCACCGGCAAACUCCGUGCCAGCAGCCGCGGUAAUACGGAGGGUGCGAGCGUUAAUCGGAAUUACUGGGCGUAAAGCG